GUCCGGCCCCGGUCCCGGCCCCGCCUGCCUCCGGCUCAUGUCCGUGACGUCCCCGGCACCCAGCCAGGGCGCCUGCCCUCCAGCCACGGAGGGCAGCGCUACACAAGACGCGUAAUGCCCCUCGGACUAACUCUAUUGAGCAUUAAAGCCGACGGCAAAACCCCUGUUAAUGCGCGGUAUUUUAGUCCAACGGGCAUUAAGCGUCACACAAAAAGUGUUCACCUGCGCUAAGAUAUAGUAGCAGGUUGGAGUGCAUUAAGUUAGUACCUGUGGGCAUUUUUACAUACGCAAGUGCCGCAGCACCAGCAUUGCUGAGAAAAAAGGCAGUGGCACACUUCUGAACUAAAACACAUUGGAGGUGCGUUAGUUCAAAAGCACACCGCUGCCAUUUUCUGUGUGCUGACACAUGUUUGGCAGCUGACACAAAUGCAGGCGACACAGCGCAGCGCGUGUCAGCGCUUGUGUGCAGCAGGCUCAGUUCAUCGAGUUUGCUGCAAAGCAGCAGAUCUCUGGCGUAUCACUGAAUGAAAAAGUGUGUAUAAGUACAAGUUCAUCACGGGGGCACAGAAGGGAAUUGAUGAGUUUUUAUUCACCAAGGCGCCCCCGGGGGUUACAAGAAAUAAUGGCCACAAGCUAGCAGAGAGCAGAUUUAGACUGGACAUUAGGAAGAACUUCUUCACAGUUCGAGUGGCCAAGGUCUGGAACGGGCUCCCAAGGGAGGUGGUGCUCUCCCCUACCCUGGGGGUCUUCAAGAGGAGGUUAGAUAAGCAUCUAGCUAGGGUCAUCUAGACCCAGCACUCUUUCCUGCCUAUGCAGGGGGUCAGACUCGAUGAUCUGUUGAGGUCCCUUCCGACCCUAACAUCUAUGAAUCUAUUAAAUGCCCUGUUAUAACAUGUGGGCUUGUAUGCAUGUGCUCUCCUGUGAGGAGGGGGGUGCUUUAAUUAGAUCAGCUUUGAGAGGCACUCUAAUUAAAGUGCCUGUAGCAUCAGGUAUAUUUAGCUUGCGCACUUCAAAAUGUUAGCAAGGGUGCUUUAAAUAAAACGUGUUCAAUGAGCUUUAGUUAAAGCGGCCCUGCCACCAAUUUGAAAUAUGUUGGGAACACUGAAUAUACAACACAGAGGGUGCUGAAGCAUGCUAAUUAGCAUGCUGCAGAAGAUUUGUAGCAGACUCCGUUAAUCAAGUCUGCUCCAACCCAUGCUAAUUAGUACCCCUAGGUACUAAACUUAAUGCGCUGUAAUUACAGCUCAAUAAUGAAUGUCUAGAUGCACCCACAGGCAAUUAACCAUCAGAUCCUACGCCACUUGAUGAAGGCAUCUCACAAAAGCAGAUACAUUACUGAUUCUUCAGAGACUCCACAGGGUGGCACAGGAUGGCAUGUACACACUUAAGUGCCACUGAGAGCAUCUACACGAGAUACUUAAUGCACUAAUUCUAUUGCGCAUUAACACAUCACAGCAAAAACUGUGCUAAUGCGCAGUAGAAUUAGUCUACUGUGUGUUAAGCAUCACAAAAAGAUUGUGUGCCAUUCCUACUGUGCACAUUUAUGUAGUACCUCAUAGCAGAGGUACUAAACUUAAUGCACAGUAGCAACAGCAUAUUAAUGCAUGUGUAGACGCACCCACUUAAAUAUCCAAUAGAUGGAAUACGAUCUGGCUUUCUACAACCUCAUUUACCUGAGAAAAUUGUACCACUUUCAGUAAACUCCCAGCAGUUAAGCUAUGUGGGAUGCAAGGGUUUCUUAGGGUGAUUAUCUUUUAUUAGACCAACUGUGUAGCUGGGAUAGAGUUACAAGAUUUCCAAACCAGGACAUUCUUUUUCAGGUCUUAUAGAUGUAAUUGCAGAUUUUGUUACUGUUCAUAUAAAAGUCAAAACUUUUUACAGUUCUCUUAAACUCUAUACCUCAAUACUAUCUUUAUGGCUUGGAGUUCCACAGCUUAAUUAUUCAUAUUAUGAUUGUUGUCAGUUUUAAGUUUGUCAUCUAUGAAUGUAAUUAGCUGCUACUUUAUCUGUGUAUUAUGAGUAUGAAUUCAUUUCAACCUCUAAGGAAACUUCUGUGUACUGUUUGCUAUUUUAUUGACAUCCAGUAUGUCACCUCUUGUUUAUUUCUUUUGAAGUAGACAGUCUGUAUCUUUUUUUAUUCCUCUUUAGAGGUAUAGGCACCUAGAUACAGUGGUUACUGCUGAGCUUUCCCUAUUUCUGCUUACUCUUUUUGUGUGUGCAUUUUCAAGGGUAAAAUGUGAAAAUGAAAGCAGAACACCUAUGACUCUGAUUCUGUUGAAAAUCCUGAGUAACCAACUGGAACACUGCAAUCAAGGGAUGCCCAAGGCUCUUCCUGAAGUGGUGAUUAGUUAAUAAGGAUUUCCAGUAUGCUUCACAUUGCACUUACCUUUAUUGAACUUCAUCUGUAAUUAUGCUGUGCCAUUGCCAUGCUCUGGCCGGGGUUGGCAACCUUUAGCAGCAACAGGUCAAAGUAACAAAGCUUGAUUUGAAGAUUUGCCUACAGAAUCUUAAGUGGAGAAUUCAUGCCUAUUGCCCUCUGAACAAAGUCCCUGGCUCUCAUGAUUCAUUCCAUUUUGGAGGAUGCUGUAGGUGAAAAGAGGCCUGCUGUAGAAAACUGCUCUCAGAGAAUGCCUGAACAUUAAUAGGGCCAAGCAUCUAAGGGAGACGCGCCAAAGGGAGUAGCACCCCGGGAGGCACCAUCCCCGAUGGAGUUGCGGACAGUUCCCCCCAGGGCAAGGGCUGCUCAGAGCAGUCUGGUACUAGUCUCCCCAGUUUGGCUGCGGAACAGGUAUGAGGCCCUGGCGACACUACAGGAGGAGAGAGGGGAAGAAACCAUUGGAGAGGAGGACACUCCACAUUCCUCGUGCUCCAACCAGACUGAAAGUGCUAAGCCGACCCAGAGGAAGAAUCAUCGGGUGAUCCUCAUAGGGGACUCAAUCCUGAGAGGUACAGAGGGUCCCAUCUGUCACCAGGACCCCUCGCGUGAGGUCUACUGUCUGCCCGGCACCAAGAUUGAGAACGUGACAGGGAUGAUCCCAGCCAUUAUCUGCCCCACCGACUACUACCCCAUGGUCCUUAUCCAUGUGGGUACGAAUGAUGCGGCCAGGAGAAGCCCCGAUCACCUGAUGGCAGACUACCAGUCACUGGGGGGCCUGCUGAAGGAGAUAGGAGCACAGGUGGUGUUCUCCUCCGUCCUAACAGUGAGCAGACAUGGAAGGAGACAAGAGACCUGAAUUGGUGAGGUCAACUUCAGACUUCGGAAUUGGUGUCUCGAGGCAGGCUUUGGCUUCCUGGACAAUGAUCCGCACAUCACGAUGAGGGACAUGCUCGGAUGGGAUGGGCUGCACCUUUCCCCUAAAGGUGCCAUUCACUCAAGGAACAAGUGGGGAUGAAUCUACAGAUGUCUGGCAUUAACACUGCAGCAUUAAGGAGCUACUCUGGAGUGCUGGUACCUUUCAAAGUUACUGUACUAAUGUAUGUUGAUGUAUAAUUCUGCUCUGACAUGUAGAUAUACUAACUGACAAGGAAGCUAAAAAAUAGUUCUUGAUGUGAACAACAGUAGAAGAAGAAAGAACACCACCCUUCAAAAGUAUGGAGAGACCAGAGCAGCCCUAGAAAAAGCAGUGAGAAUAGUGCUGAAGAGUGGGACAGAAAUACAGAGGCACCACAGUCCUCAGCAGAUGGAAAGUGGGGACAGUGCUCUGCAAAUAGAACUAUUUAAAAAAAACGAAGCCUGGAUAAAGCCCAGAGUAUUCCCAAGCAGUCCCACCCUAGAGGCUCUAUACAGUUCAGGGAAUAGCGAAUAUAAGACAACAUUGACUUUUUACAUAUUGUGUCAUAAAAAUUGGUUGAUUUCUUCAGUGCAAAACCCACUGUGUCCAAAUCCUUCUGAGUUUUCCUCUCCUCUCUUUCCUUACCUUACAAAUUGUUGAACUAUACAUAUGUUAAGGAACAGGAACCACUGCUUUGUUUAAGCCAGGGGCCUGCCUCUUUAUUGUCUUGCGUCUCAUGUAGUAAGUUUACAUCUGUGAAUUUUAAAAUGCUACUAAAUCAGAAUUAUCCAUUC